CAGGACCAGGUGGGGGUGUUCUAGACAAUUCCACGGGGCCUCAUCCUCUGUACAUGUCUCACGCGUGCUCCAGCUGUGGCCGUUUCCCCAGACAGUCACAUCUCAGGUGAAAUGGAGGGGGAACACGCGGCUUUCCUCAUCUAACGUCCAAAUGUUCUGUAUCAUUAUAAUCAUGCAAGUUAUCUAGUUCAUCUAAGUUGGCCAUCACAGUGUGUAAGAAUUAGUUUCUAUCUUCUUAAGAUAAAUGAUUUGGAUCCUGAGUGAUAAAAAGAAAUCCCUAGUAAUUCUGAAGGCCGUGUAAACAGCGAACGAAAGGAGAGAGGGAAAAUAAUCCCGGCUGCCUGGAAGCGAGAGGCAGCCACAGACGCACCGUUCCGGAAACCGCGGGAGGUGACCGGGAAGCCCCAGAGGCGGCCACAGACGCACCGUUCCGGAAACCGCGGGAUGUGACCUGGAAGCCCUAGAGGCGGCCACAGACACACCUUUCCGGAAACCGCGGGAGGUGACCGGGAAGACCCAGAGGCGGCCACAGACACACCGUGCCGGAAACCGCGGGAUGUGACUGGGAAGCCCUAGAGAGUGACUGGAACCGGAAACCAUUACAGGCUUGUACCACGCAGGCAUUGACAUUAGGAUGCGAAGUGUCUGAUUGGAGGGUUUCCUUGUAGCUGCAGUAACAAUGGAAAUACAUUUUGAAAAAUCAGUUUUAAUAAAGCCCAGGCACUGACCCCAGCCACUAACUGGAUUCCAGAUGGCUCCAUGAACCAAGUUAGAUUAUGAAAGUCAAUGAAAAUCAUUUCAAGGACUUCAGUUGGAGCUGUGCAGGAAGAAAAAAAUCCAAGUUUUUCACAGGACUGGGUGCUUAAGUAUUGUGGAGAGAGAAAGUAAAUGAAUUCUUAUCCAA